AUUGAACGCUGGCGGCAGGCCUAACACAUGCAAGUCGGACGGUAGCACAGAGAGCUUGCUCUUGGGUGACGAGUGGCGGACGGGUGAGUAAUGUCUGGGAAACUGCCCGAUGGAGGGGGAUAACUACUGGAAACGGUAGCUAAUACCGCAUAACGUCUUCGGACCAAAGUGGGGGACCUUCGGGCCUCACACCAUCGGAUGUGCCCAGAUGGGAUUAGCUAGUAGGUGGGGUAAUGGCUCACCUAGGCGACGAUCCCUAGCUGGUCUGAGAGGAUGACCAGCCACACUGGAACUGAGACACGGUCCAGACUCCUACGGGAGGCAGCAGUGGGGAAUAUUGCACAAUGGGCGCAAGCCUGAUGCAGCCAUGCCGCGUGUAUGAAGAAGGCCUUCGGGUUGUAAAGUACUUUCAGCGGGGAGGAAGGCGAUGAGGUUAAUAACCGCAUCGAUUGACGUUACCCGCAGAAGAAGCACCGGCUAACUCCGUGCCAGCAGCCGCGGUAA
rnacentral:rRNA from 1 species